AUUGAACGCUAGCGGGAUGCUUUACACAUGCAAGUCGAACGGCAGCGCGGACUUCGGUCUGGCGGCGAGUGGCGAACGGGUGAGUAAUGUAUCGGAACGUGCCCAGUAGCGGGGGAUAACUACGCGAAAGCGUAGCUAAUACCGCAUACGCCCUACGGGGGAAAGCAGGGGAUCGUAAGACCUUGCACUAUUGGAGCGGCCGAUAUCGGAUUAGCUAGUUGGUGAGGUAACGGCUCACCAAGGCGACGAUCCGUAGCUGGUUUGAGAGGACGACCAGCCACACUGGGACUGAGACACGGCCCAGACUCCUACGGGAGGCAGCAUUGGGGAAUUUUGGACAAUGGGGGCAACCCUGAUCCAGCCAUCCCGCGUGUGCGAUGAAGGCCUUCGGGUUGUAAAGCACUUUUGGCAGGAAAGAAACGUCGCGGGCUAAUACCCCGUGGAACUGACGGUACCUGCAGAAUAAGCACCGGCUAACUACGUG
rnacentral:rRNA from 1 species